rnacentral:rRNA from 1 species
AGAGUUUGAUCCUGGCUCAGGAUGAACGCUGGCGGCGUGCCUAACACAUGCAAGUCGAACGGAGCUGCUUUGAUGAAGUUUUCGGAUGGAUUUAAAACAGCUUAGUGGCGGACGGGUGAGUAACGCGUGGGUAACCUGCCUCACACUGGGGGAUAACAGUUAGAAAUAGCUGCUAAUACCGCAUAAGCGCACGGUUCCGCAUGGAACAGUGUGAAAAACUCCGGUGGUGUGAGAUGGACCCGCGUCUGAUUAGCCAGUUGGCGGGGUAACGGCCCACCAAAGCGACGAUCAGUAGCCGGCCUGAGAGGGUGAACGGCCACAUUGGGACUGAGACACGGCCCAAACUCCUACGGGAGGCAGCAGUGGGGAAUAUUGCACAAUGGGGGAAACCCUGAUGCAGCGACGCCGCGUGAGUGAAGAAGUAUUUCGGUAUGUAAAGCUCUAUCAGCAGGGAAGAAAAUGACGGUACCUGACUAAGAAGCCCCGGCUAACUACGUGCCAGCAGCCGCGGUAAUACGUAGGGGGCAAGCGUUAUCCGGAUUUACUGGGUGUAAAGGGAGCGCAGGCGGUGCGGCAAGUCUGAUGUGAAAGCCCGGGGCUCAACCCCGGUACUGCAUUGGAAACUGUCGUACUAGAGUGUCGGAGGGGUAAGUGGAAUUCCUAGUGUAGCGGUGAAAUGCGUAGAUAUUAGGAGGAACACCAGUGGCGAAGGCGGCUUACUGGACGAUAACUGACGCUGAGGCUCGAAAGCGUGGGGAGCAAACAGGAUUAGAUACCCUGGUAGUCCACGCCGUAAACG